rnacentral:rRNA from 1 species
UACGGAGGGUGCGAGCGUUGUCCGGAUUUAUUGGGUUUAAAGGGUGCGUAGGUGGGGCCUCAAGUCUGGUUUGAAAGCUGGCUGCUCAACAGUUAGAUGUGGCUGGAAACUGGGGUUCUGGAAUGGGUUGGCGGCUGCCGGAACGGGUCAUGUAGCGGUGAAAUGCAUAGAUAUGACCCAGAACACCGAUUGCGAAGGCAGGCAGCUACGACCUGAUUGACACUGAGGCACGAGAGCAUGGGUAGCGAACAGG